rnacentral:rRNA from 1 species
UUAAGUGACUAAGCGUACAAGGUGGAUGCCUUGGCAAUCAGAGGCGAGGAAGGACGUGCUAAUCUGCGAAAAGCUUGGAUGAGUCGAUAAGAGGCGUUUAAUCCAAGAUGUCCGAAUGGGGAAACCCAGUAGAUGAAGAAUCUACUAUCACUUACUGAAUCCAUAGGUAAGUGAGGCAAACCGGGAGAACUGAAACAUCUAAGUACCCCGAGGAAAAGAAAUCAACCGAGAUUUCGUUAGUAGCGGCGAGCGAACGCGAAGGAGCCUGUUAGUGAUAAUGACAGAGACAGAGGAACAAGCUGGGAAGCUUGGCGAUACAGGGUGAUAGCCCCGUACUCGAAGUCCAGGUCAUGGUACUAAGCUAACGACAAGUAGGGCGGGACACGUGAUAUCCUGUUUGAAGAUGGGGGGACCAUCCUCCAAGGCUAAAUACUCCUGAUUGACCGAUAGUGAACCAGUACUGUGAAGGAAAGGCGAAAAGAACCCCGGUGAGGGGAGUGAAAUAGAACCUGAAACCUUGUACGUACAAGCAGUGGGAGCCCUUUUAAGGGUGACUGCGUACCUUUUGUAUAAUGGGUCAGCGACUUAUAUUUUGUAGCGAGGUUAACCGAAUAGGGGAGCCGAAGGGAAACCGAGUCUUAACUGGGCGUCUAGUUGCAAGGUAUAGACCCGAAACCCGGUGAUCUAGCCAUGGGCAGGUUGAAGGUUGGGUAACACUAACUGGAGGACCGAACCGACUAAUGUUGAAAAAUUAGCGGAUGACUUGUGGCUGGGGGUGAAAGGCCAAUCAAACCGGGAGAUAGCUGGUUCUCCCCGAAAUCUAUUUAGGUAGAGCCUUGAGCGGACACCUUCGGGGGUAGAGCACUGUUUCGGCUAGGGGUCCAUCCCGGAUUACCAACCCGAUGCAAACUACGAAUACCGAAGAGUGAUACUCAGGAGACACACGGCGGGUGCUAACGUCCGUCGUGGAGAGGGAAACAACCCAGACCGCCAGCUAAGGUCCCAAAGUCUAUAUUAAGUGGGAAACGAAGUGGGAAGGCUUAGACAGCUAGGAUGUUGGCUUAGAAGCAGCCAUCAUUUAAAGAAAGCGUAAUAGCUCACUAGUCGAGUCGGCCUGCGCGGAAGAUGUAACGGGGCUCAAAUAUAGCACCGAAGCUGCGGCAUCAGUAGCAAUACUGUUGGGUAGGGGAGCGUUCUGUAAGCGGAUGAAGGUGAAUCGAGAGGUUUGCUGGACGUAUCAGAAGUGCGAAUGCUGACAUAAGUAACGAUAAAACGGGUGAAAAACCCGUUCGCCGGAAGACCAAGGGUUCCUGUCCAACGUUAAUCGGGGCAGGGUGAGUCGGCCCCUAAGGCGAGGCUGAAAAGCGUAGUCGAUGGGAAACGGGUUAAUAUUCCCGUACUUGGAUAAACUGCGAUGUGGGGACGGAGCAGGUUAGGUUAUCGCACUGUUGGAUAUGUGCGUUUAAGUUGGUAGGUGUGAAGUUUAGGCAAAUCCGGACUUCUUUAACACCGAGAGAUGAUGACGAGGCUCUACGGAGCUGAAGUAACCGAUACCACACUUCCAGGAAAAGCCACUAAGCUUCAGGUUUAUCUAAACCGUACUGAAAACCGACACAGGUGGUCAGGUAGAGAAUACUCAGGCGCUUGAGAGAACUCGGGUGAAGGAACUAGGCAAAAUAGCACCGUAACUUCGGGAGAAGGUGCGCCGGCGUAGAUUGUAGUCCCUUGCGGAUGAAGGUUGAACCGGUCGAAGAUACCAGCUGGCUGCAACUGUUUAUUAAAAACACAGCACUCUGCAAACACGAAAGUGGACGUAUAGGGUGUGAUGCCUGCCCGGUGCUGGAAGGUUAAUUGAUGGUGUAAUCGAAAGAGAAGCUCCUGAUCGAAGCCCCAGUAAACGGCGGCCGUAACUAUAACGGUCCUAAGGUAGCGAAAUUCCUUGUCGGGUAAGUUCCGACCUGCACGAAUGGCAUAAUGAUGGCCAGGCUGUCUCCACCCGAGACUCAGUGAAAUUGAAAUCGCCGUGAAGAUGCGGUGUACCCGCGGCUAGACGGAAAGACCCCGUGAACCUUUACUAUAGCUUGACACUGAACAUUGAAUUUUGAUGUGUAGGAUAGGUGGGAGACUUUGAAGCAGUCACGCCAGUGAUUGUGGAGUCGUCCUUGAAAUACCACCCUUUAACGUUUGAUGUUCUAACGAAGAUUACGAAACGUGGUCUCGGACAGUGUCUGGUGGGUAGUUUGACUGGGGCGGUCUCCUCCCAAAGAGUAACG